rnacentral:rRNA from 1 species
GACGAACGCUGGCGGCGUGCUUAACACAUGCAAGUCGAACGGAAAGGCCCCUUCGGGGGUACUCGAGUGGCGAACAGGUGAGUAAAACGUGAGUAACCUGCCCUUGACUUCGGGAUAACUUCAGGAAACUGGGGCUAAUACCGGAUAGGAAUCCUUGCUGCAUGGUGGGGGUUGGAAAGCUUCGGCGGUUUUGGAUGGACUCGCGGCUUAUCAGCUUGUUGGUGGGGUAGUGGCUUACCAAGGCUUUGACGGGUAGCCGGCCUGAGAGGGCGACCGGCCACAUUGGGACUGAGAUACGGCCCAGACUCCUACGGGAGGCAGCAGUGGGGAAUAUUGCACAAUGGGCGGAAGCCUGAUGCAGCAACGCCGCGUGCGGGAUGACGGCCUUCGGGUUGUAAACCGCUUUCAGCAGGGGCGAAGCUUGUGGUGACGGUACCUGCAGAAGAAGCACCGGCUAACUACGUG